rnacentral:rRNA from 1 species
UUUCGCAAUGCCCGAAAGGGUGACGAAGCGACGCCGCGUGAGUGAGGAAGGCCUUCGGGUUGUAAAGCUCUGUCAGGAGUUAAGAAAUAUAAGUGUGCUAAUACCACAUUUAUUUGACGAAGGCUCCAAAGGAAGCCACGGCUAACUCCGUGCCAGCAGCCGCGGUAAUACAGAGGUGGCAAGCGUUGUUCGGAAUUAUUGGGCGUAAAGAGCACGUAGGUGGGUUUGUAAGUCAGAUGUGAAAGCCUUCUGUUCAACGGAAGAGUUGCAUCCGAAACUGCGAAUCUUGAGUGUAGGAGGGGAGAAUGGAACUUCUGGUGGAGCGGUGAAAUGCGUAGAUAUCAGAAGGAACGCCGGCGGCGAAAGCGAUUCUCUGGCCUAUUACUGACACUCAGUGUGCGAAAGCUAGGGGAGCAAACGGGAUUAGAUACCCCGGUAGUCCUAGCCGUAAACGAUGGGCACUAAGUAGAGGGGUUUU